rnacentral:rRNA from 1 species
AUUGAACGCUGGCGGCAUGCUUUACACAUGCAAGUCGAACGGCAGCGCGGGCUUCGGCCUGGCGGCGAGUGGCGAACGGGUGAGUAAUGCAUCGGAACGUGCCCAGUAGUGGGGGAUAGCCCGGCGAAAGCCGGAUUAAUACCGCAUACGACCUGAGGGUGUACGCGGGGGACCGAAAGGCCUCGCGCUAUUGGAGCGGCCGAUGUCGGAUUAGCUAGUUGGUGGGGUAAAGGCUUACCAAGGCGACGAUCCGUAGCUGGUCUGAGAGGACGACCAGCCACACUGGGACUGAGACACGGCCCAGACUCCUACGGGAGGCAGCAGUGGGGAAUUUUGGACAAUGGGGGCAACCCUGAUCCAGCCAUGCCGCGUGCGGGAAGAAGGCCUUCGGGUUGUAAACCGCUUUUGUUCGGGAAGAAAUCCUCUGGGCUAAUACCCCGGGGGGAUGACGGUACCGGAAGAAUAAGCACCGGCUAACUACGUG